ACUGACAGCCAUGGUUACCGCGGCUGCUGGCACGGAGUUAGCCGGUGCUUCUUCUGUGAGUGAUGUCCUUCCUGCCGGUUAUUGACCCGCAGGCCUUCUUCCUCACUGAAAGUGCUUUACAACCCGAAGGCCUUCUUCACACACGCGGCAUGGCUGGAUCAGGGUUGCCCCCAUUGUCCAAUAUUCCCACUGCUGCCUCCCGUAGGAGUCUGGGCCGUGUCUCAGUCCCAGUGUGGCUGAUCAUCCUCUCAGACCAGCUACGGAUCGUCGCCUUGGUGAGCCGUUACCUCACCAACCAGCUAAUCCGACAUAGGCUCAUCCGAUAGCGCGAGGCCCGAAGGUCCCCCGCUUUCCCCCGUAGGGCGUAUGCGGUAUUAGCCUGGGUUUCCCCAGGUUAUCCCCCACUACCGGGCAGAUUCCUAUGCAUUACUCACCCGUCCGCCGCUCGCCACCAGGGAGCAAGCUCCCCGUGCUGCCGCUCGACUUGCAUGUGUUAGGCCUGCCGCCAGCGUUCAAU
rnacentral:rRNA from 1 species